UAUUUAUUAUUAUUAUUUCUUUAUUAUCAUCAUUUGUAUGUUCGCCACAUCAAAGAAUGCGUGUGUGCAAAUGUGUCAGUGCGCUAAGUGGAACACCAAACACUAAAUCAAUUACAAAUCACAGUGAUUCAAUAUCGAAGGUCUGGACUGGAAUAAAUAUUUACUAUGACUAAAACAGGAAAAAGUUUCUUGUAGUGUGUGCGAUUCCUCCUAGAUGUAAACGACAGUGAAACCCAUCAUAAUUGCAACUAAUUCCAAAUUUGCAUAUUUCCGGAUUUUAUUUGGGGAACCAAUCCUCGCUUAUUUGCUAUUAAUGCUAAGAAGCCAUUGGUCAUAAAUAUUGCUUUGGCGCCAUCUGGCUACCAAGAAUGUAUACUGAACAAACAUAUGAACACACAACACUUAUGUUUUUGGUCUCAAACCUUUUCGGCAAUCUGUGUUAGUGAGCAUUUCUCCUUUGUCGAGAUAAUCACAGGUGUGGCAUAUCAAGAUGCUGAUUAGGCCGCAUGAUUAUUGCGCAGGUGUGCCAUAGGCUGACCGCAAUGAAAGGCCAGUUUUAUCACACAGCACGGCACAAUGCCACAGAUGUCGCAAGUACUGAGGGCGCGUGCAAUUGGCAUGCUGACUGCCGGAUUGUCCACCGUGUUCAUUUCUCUACCAUAAACCGUCUCCAAAGGCGUUCCAGACCAUUUGGCAGUCCAUCCGACCGGCCUCACAACCGCACCGGCUCAGGACCUCCACAUCCGGCAUGUUCACCUCCAAGAUCGGUAUUUUCCAAACGGCUCCUUGUUGUGAAGCGAGUCGAGUCGCCCGUCAACAAGACGUCCCGAUGACAGCUCGUAUCUGAAGGCCCAACCGCUUCGGCUAUCACAAGCGGAAGAAUCGAUCCGAGCCACACCCAGACCGCCGCCUGUUCUUCCUCUCCGUCUCGGCCCCGCCCUCCCCCGUCCCGUCAGGCCCGGAACCUUCCACCACGUACUCUGCGUGACCUGCGUCUCUGUCCUUCAUCCACAGGCAAAUAAUUUUGUUUAGGGAAUGCGAGCAGCUUCAUCUUCCCUGGUGCUCUUCAUUUAAAAAAAGAAAAAAAAUAAAUUUAAAAAAAAUGUCAAUAUUCUUUCCUUUGAAACCAGAUGCACUCAUUGACAGUCAUCAUCAUCAUUACGAAUGAACAUGUGGCCUCCCCCUGCUCACCGACAU